GACGAACGCUGGCGGCGUGCUUAACACAUGCAAGUCGAACGGAAAGGCCCUGCUUUUGUGGGGUGCUCGAGUGGCGAACGGGUGAGUAACACGUGAGUAACCUGCCCUUGACUUUGGGAUAACUUCAGGAAACUGGGGCUAAUACCGGAUAGGAGCUCCUGCUGCGUGGUGGGGGUUGGAAAGUUUCGGCGGUUGGGGAUGGACUCGCGGCUUAUCAGCUUGUUGGUGGGGUAGUGGCUUACCAAGGCUUUGACGGGUAGCCGGCCUGAGAGGGUGACCGGCCACAUUGGGACUGAGAUACGGCCCAGACUCCUACGGGAGGCAGCAGUGGGGAAUAUUGCACAAUGGGCGGAAGCCUGAUGCAGCAACGCCGCGUGCGGGAUGACGGCCUUCGGGUUGUAAACCGCUUUCGCCUGUGACGAAGCGUGAGUGACGGUAAUGGGUAAAGAAGCACCGGCUAACUACGUGCCAGCAGCCGCGGUGAUACGUAGGGUGCGAGCGUUGUCCGGAUUUAUUGGGCGUAAAGGGCUCGUAGGUGGUUGAUCGCGUCGGAAGUGUAAUCUUGGGGCUUAACCCUGAGCGUGCUUUCGAUACGGGUUGACUUGAGGAAGGUAGGGGAGAAUGGAAUUCCUGGUGGAGCGGUGGAAUGCGCAGAUAUCAGGAGGAACACCAGUGGCGAAGGCGGUUCUCUGGGCCUUUCCUGACGCUGAGGAGCGAAAGCGUGGGGAGCGAACAGGCUUAGAUACCCUGGUAGUCCACGCUGUAAACGGUGGGUACUAGGUGUGGGGUCCAUUCCACGGGUUCCGUGCCGUAGCUAACGCUUUAAGUACCCCGCCUGGGGAGUACGGCCGCAAGGCUAAAACUCAAAGGAAUUGACGGGGCCCCGCACAAGCGGCGGAGCAUGCGGAUUAAUUCGAUGCAACGCGUAGAACCUUACCUGGGUUUGACAUGGAUCGGGAGCGCUCAGAGAUGGGUGUGCCUCUUUUGGGGUCGGUUCACAGGUGGUGCAUGGCUGUCGUCAGCUCGUGUCGUGAGAUGUUGGGUUAAGUCCCGCAACGAGCGCAACCCUUGUUCACUGUUGCCAGCACGUUAUGGUGGGGACUCAGUGGAGACCGCCGGGGUCAACUCGGAGGAAGGUGGGGAUGACGUCAAGUCAUCAUGCCCCUUAUGUCCAGGGCUUCACGCAUGCUACAAUGGCUGGUACAGAGAGUGGCGAGCCUGUGAGGGUGAGCGAAUCUCGGAAAGCCGGUCUCAGUUCGGAUUGGGGUCUGCAACUCGACCUCAUGAAGUCGGAGUCGCUAGUAAUCGCAGAUCAGCAACGCUGCGGUGAAUACGUUCCCGGGGCUUGUACACACCGCCCGUCAAGUCAUGAAAGUUGGUAACACCCGAAGCCGGUGGCCUAACCGUUGUGGGGGAGCCGUCGAAGGUGGGAUUGGUGAUUAGGACU
rnacentral:rRNA from 1 species